UGGGGAAUAUUGCACAAUGGGCGCAAGCCUGAUGCAGCCAUGCCGCGUGUGCGAAGAAGGCCUUCGGGUUGUAAAGCACUUUCAGCGAGGAGGAGGGUGGUGAACUUAAUACGUUCAUCAAUUGACGUUACUCGCAGAAGAAGCACCGGCUAACUCCGUGCCAGCAGCCGCGGUAAUACGGAGGGUGCAAGCGUUAAUCGGAAUUACUGGGCGUAAAGCGCACGCAGGCGGUUUGUUAAGUCAGAUGUGAAAUCCCCCGGGCUCAACCUGGGAACUGCAUUUGAAGCUGGCAAGCUAGAGUCUCGUAGAGGGGGGUAGAAUUCCAGGUGUAGCGGUGAAAUGCGUAGAGAUCUGGAGGAAUACCGGUGGCGAAGGCGGCCCCCUGGACGAAGACUGACGCUCAGGUGCGAAAGCGUGGGGCAGCAAACAGGAUUAGAUACCCUGGUAGUCCACGCUGUAAACGAUGUCGAUUUGGAGGUUGUGCCCUUGAGGCGUGGCUUCCGGAGCUAACGCGUUAAAUCGACCGCCUGGGGAGUACGGCCGCAAGGUUAAAACUCAAAGGAAUUGACGGGGUCA
rnacentral:rRNA from 1 species